GGGAAGCUGUAGCUGUGACCUCACUCUUAAGUGCUGGCCCAUACUUGGAAGCUGAGGAGGGGCUGCAGGCUUGUUAACUGUAGCUGUCUUCUGCUCUCUCUUUAGACACUGUUCAGAAGGAGAUCAGCAGCUUUGUGGCCAAGUGUGAAGAUGACAGUGUUGAAAAUGAAGGAGAAUCUUAGGUCAUAAAUAAUUGCCUUGUGACCCAAACGACGGUUUGAACCAGUGGAAGAGAAUUCAGUAGUGGAAGAGCAGCUAUCUGUUCUCCUGGAAGCAUUCCAGAAGCACUAAAGUUGCCCAUAAAGUGAUGUUUUGAAGACUAGUCCAGCUGUUUCCAGUGCCUAUUUUUCAUUCCUUGGAGUGGACGGCCUCCUUUUUGAAUGUUGCUGCAUGGAGAGAGAAGAGAGUGAAGAGUUGGACCAGGAGGAUGGAAAGGAGAGGAAUGGAGUGGUGAAUGUUAAGUGGGGUUUCUGGAGCCAAAUGAAUGAUGGCAGGAGUUCACUAUUGUGGCAACAUCAAACAGUGACAAAUUAGAGAGCACUGAAUUCAAGAUUUUCUGCGCUGCCUUCACUUAUUCCCCCUAUGCUCUACUGCAUUCUGAUAACAGACUGGUAAUUUCAGCACCCAGCAAUAGCAGAUGGAAUCUAUUCAUCAUCCCAAUGACCCGGCACAUCAUAACCCACUCAUCAUCCAAUGACCCAGCACAUCGUAAGUACAGCAGGACAGAGGUUAGGACACCCGUCCUGCCCAGUUUGCGUAACAGUGACAUUACUGGCAUUUUUUGAGCACAUUUCUGUCAGGCUAUGUCAAAGCUUUCAGUGGUUUGGGGGUUUGUGAUCUUAGUACACAUCAGCUGACAGGUUCAAGCGCUGGCUGGGACGACAUCAGCUGGAGUCGGAGCUUCCAUGCGGAGCUACAAAGCUGUUCCAGUUGUACCGUGGUACAAAGUAUAUUGCCAAAGUAGUGCAGCCAUCGACUACCUUGGGAUUGGCCUGGUAGUCAUUAAAACUGUAGACACUAAAGGAAGAUGAGUUACAAUGUGGGGCUGGAGAUCCCAUAGAAAUAAAUAC
rnacentral:lncRNA from 1 species